AGAAAGAAAGGACUUGACUGUGCGGGUCAGUAUCAUUUGUUCUAGCGGUGCCGGCCCCAGGGCGUGUGGGGCAGCUCCAGCAUCCCUGCAGCUCAUCCCUGCGGGCUGGGGCUGGCAGCGGGCAGGGACAGGGACAGGGACAGGGACAGGGGCGGGGAGCAGUGGCCUUUGACGGGGCAUGGCGGAGCCCCGGUCCCUGCGCUGGGCACAGAUACUGGGGUGACGAGGGGGGAAAAUGUAUUUUGUUUGUUUUCCGUUCUGCAGAUCACUGUGAAUCCUGCCCGCUCAGCCCUGCCCCCCACCCCAGCCCUGCCAAAGAGCCCGCUCUGGCCGGGGCGGCGUGCUGCUUGUCCCCUGCAGGACAUGUCCCCAUGUCCCCGAGUGCCCGGCGGAGCGGGAGGUGCCACAUGUCCCCAGAAGGGCCGUGGCUGCCCCCGGGGGCUGCGGUGACGGUGUUGUGCCCCCCAGUCACUCCGCUGGGUGCCAAGGAGGGGGACAGCGUGGCUGCUCAGCCCUGGCACCCCUCACACCCUCACACCCGGCCAGAAGAGGUGCGGCGGGGCUGGGGGGGCCCGGAGCAGGUGACAGCCGUGUCACCCCGCGGUGCCGCACCCGCCGCGCUGCUCCCGGCAGUGCGGGGGUCCCUGGGGACCCUCCCUCACCCCGCUCAGAGCCACCCCAUCAACCGGGUCCAGGGGAGCCCCCGGCAUGGCCACCCCGGGGGGCUGGGGAGGGCGCCAGGCGGUAAUUAGUGCUGGGGUUAAUUAAUGGUCAUUCUGCUUGUAGCUUUUUCAGUGUGUGUUUGGUUACUGUCUCUGGGAACCGUGUUUGAACAGAUGGCUCUGUGUUACCGGGAGUGUGUGUACUUCUGUAGUCUAGUUAGGUGCUCUGCCAGAAAACCACCACUAUACAUACCUAUAAAUAUAUACAUAUAUAGUCUAUUUUAAGUUAAAAACCAAUGAGGCGAAGGGGCGGUGUGACCCCGGGCCCCCCGUCCCGCCGGGGUCACUUCCUUCCCUGUCCCCACCCAAAAGCUUCUCUCUGCUCAUUCAAAGGUUUUUACUUGAUUUUCUUUAAUUUAUUUUUAAUUUCUUUGGGUUUCAUUUUUUUUUUUUUUUUGUACAGAAGAGUUGGAAAACUAAAAAAAAAAAAAAACAAAAAAACCAACAAAAAGACAAUUUGUAAGAUAUCGUGCGUGUGACUCCUUGUAAAAUAUUUUCAAAUGGUUUAUUACAGAGACUCAGUUAUUAAAUAAUGUUCAUAUUUUCACUUCA